AUAUUUAAUGUGCUAUAAUUGCACUCAUAUAGAUACGAAAAUUAAGGAAAAACGGCUCAUUAUUAGUUAUGACAUAUUGUGCAACAAAUCAUGGAAGUUACAACAAUUAUUUUGGGACUGUUAGUCACCGUUAACUACCAUAUUUUUGCAGAAAAGAAUGAAGAAAAUCUCUACUGCAAUGAAACGGCAUUUUAUCCAGCAACGUUCUGUAAUGGCUACUAUGAGUGCGAAUCGUAUGGAUUUUUGGUUUGGACAUUUGGGUGGACUCCAGUUUUAAAAACAUGUCCUAAUAAUCAUAGUUUUAACUUUGCAACAAAAAGUUGCGUUGCCAGCUUUUGUGAAGCACCACUAGUGUGUAAUGGGCCAGGAAAGUAUUCUGUAGUACCUACUAAAACAGAUUGUAAUAACGAUUCCUGCAAUAACUACUACGAAUGCGAAGCAACUUGGUUUCUCUUUGUGCCCCUUGAAUGGAGAUUGAAGCUAAAGACUUGCCCAAACGAACACAUCUAUGAACCGAGUAUUAACGAUUGUGUCCGUUCCACUAAUAUUUCUACAACUUUUAUUCCUUCUAUUACGACCACUACUACGCAUUCUUCUAAUUCUACUACUAUUUCUUCUUCAAGCUUUCAAAAUGCUACUGAUACUUCUAAUUCUUCUACGACUCCAUCUUUUUCCCCUACGACAGAUGGAAUGCAAACCCUAAGUGAUGAUGAAUCUACUGUCACAAGUGAAACAGCUGAAUCGACAUCAACAGUUUUUGAAACGAAUACAAACAUUGUUUUACUAUUUAUUUCUCUAAAUUUGUUUAUAAAUUUAAUUUAGUUAAAUUUGUAAUUAUUAUUUCUAAAGAAAAUAAAGUAGGAUUCAAUCUAAAAAGCAAUAAAAUUAAAUCAAUUUGUUUGUUUUGAAAAAUUCACACUUGUGUCAUAUUUUUGUAGAAAAAAUCUUCGUCAUGGAGUAAGGAUUCAUGUGACAAACAAAAUUUUCUCUUAUUGUAAAACUCUAAAUUUAUCUAAAUUCUUUAUAGAAAGCCACUGCGAAUUUGCCGGCAUAAAAUUUAGUGUAAAAUUAGUGUAAAGAAAGCUUUUAAAAAAAUUCUAACUCUCUAGGAACUUUUUCCACUGAUCGCCUUAUUUUUGUCUAAUUUGACUGGGCUAUAAUGUAUUGUUGAUUGUUCACAAAAUUUCCAUAAAAACAUACGUAUCUCAUAUUGUCAAAAUGAAACGAUUGAAACGUAAAAUAAAUAUUUAGUAUGAAUGUAUUUAAUAAAUAUUUUUUGCAACGUUAACCGACAACUGGUUUAAAGGAAAACAGUAUGUAAAAUUUUAGGCGCAUUAGUUAGGCAUCUACAAGUACCUAUACAUUUUAAUUUUAUAUUUUCUAAUAGAUAUGUAAUGUCUUUACUAAUUAAUAUUUCAGAUGCUUAAUUAUGUGUUAAAACAUUUUAUUUUCAAAAACAGCAAAAUAUCUGUAACGCAUAAUAACAAUAAUAGAGAUAAAAAUCCAUUUUUUUUUCACAAUUUCCUCAUACGUAAUGUCCUUAUUCACACAUUCAUUGUAUAAAUAAUAAAACAAAUAAGAUAUUGAGAAAAGAGUAGCGCACUGAUAAGGUUGCAUGAAAAUUGCAAAGAAAACAUUCAUUUAAAUAAAUAUUUGAACUUCCAUUUUACGAUGUUUAUAGCACAGAGGCCCAGUAAAGUACCCAGUUAUCCUCAACAUCAUGAAGAAGAAUCUUCUUAUUUUUAUAGUCAUAUCGAUCCUGAGUCUUCAGCUUUUGGCCCAAGAUGUUAAAAAUGUAACUACUGAAACACCAACCAAAAAAUCUGAUGUAACAACAACAAUAAGGAUAAAUUCAGCAAUAUUUGAAAACAGUACUGAAGAUAAAAAAAACUUAACGUUACCAACUUCAAUUGAAAGUAGUAUUGUGUUUACAACACAAAAUGGGACAAGCAGUCUUAUUGUUUCGGAAACAACUUCUUUAUCCAAUUCAGUUGAAGAUAAUAAUAUGAGUACAGCAGAAACAAUUCAAGAAAAAAAUUCUUCUUUACCAAGUAAUGAAAAUGUAACAAACAUUUCUAUAAUUUUGAGUGCAACUUCAACAACCAAUUCUCCUUCACCAAGUUCUGAGGUCGUCACAAGUAUUAAAACAACGAAUGAAAAAAAUUCUUCUUCACCAAGUAUUGAAAAUGUAACAAGCAGUUCCAUAAUUUCUAAUACAACUUCAAUAACCAAUUCUCCUUCACCAAGUUCUGAGGUCGUCACAAGUGUUAAAACAACGACUGAAAAAAAUUCUUCUUCACCAAGUAUUGAAAAUGUAACAAGCAGUUUCAUAAUUUCGAAUACAACUUCAAUGACCAAUUCUCUUUCACCAAGUUCUGAGAUCGUAACAACUUCUAUCGUAAUAAGCAAUUCAUCAUUUUCGGAAACAACAAGUGAGAAUUCAACCGUUUCAUCAGUUGUUACACCUGAAGCAAAUAGUAAUUCAGGAGUAUUACGGUGCCAUGGUAAAAACUUUAUUUUCAUUGUUGUAAUAUUAUUGACGAAGAAUUUACAAUGAGCAAAAAAUCAAAAUAAAAUUUUCUAUAAAAAUCCAAAA